rnacentral:rRNA from 1 species
UACAGAGGGUGCAAGCGUUAAUCGGAAUUACUGGGCGUAAAGCGUGCGCAGGCGGUUUGUUAAGUCUGAUGUGAAAGCCCCGGGCUCAACCUGGGAAUGGCAUUGGAAACUGGCAAGCUCGAGUUUGGCAGAGGGGGGUGGAAUUCCGCGUGUAGCAGUGAAAUGCGUAGAGAUGCGGAGGAACACCGAUGGCGAAGGCAGCCCCCUGGGCUAAGACUGACGCUCAGGCACGAAAGCGUGGGGAGCAAACAGG